rnacentral:ncRNA from 1 species
CUAACACGUGCGCGAGUCAGAGGCUGCGGACGAAAGCUCCGUGGCGCAAUGAAGGUGAGGGCCGGCGCGUGCCGGGCGAGGUGGGAUCCCGAGGCCUCCAAGUGGAGGGCGCACCACUGGCCCGUCUCAGCAGCCCCGUCAGGGAGGUGGAGCAUGAGCACGCGUGCUAGGACCUAAAAGAUGGUGAUCUAUGCCUGGGCAGAGCGAAGCCAGAGGAAACUCUGGUGGAGGUUCGUAGCAGUCCUGAUGUGCAAAUCGGUCAUCUGACCUGGGUAUAGGGGUGAAAGACUAAUCAAACCAUCUAGUAGUUGG